rnacentral:rRNA from 1 species
AUAGCCUUUCGAAAGAAAGAUUAAUACCCGAUAGCAUAAUGAUUCCGCAUGGUUUCAUUAUUAAAGGAUUCCGGUAAAGGAUGGGGAUGCGUUCCAUUAGGUUGUUGGUGGGGUAACGGCCCACCAAGCCUUCGAUGGAUAGGGGUUCUGAGAGGAAGGUCCCCCCACAUUGGAACUGAGACACGGUCCAAACUCCUACGGGAGGCAGCAUG